rnacentral:tRNA from 1 species
GUUUUAAUAGUUUAAAUAAAAACAUUGGUCUUGUAAAUCAAAGAUAAAAAGUUUUUUUAAAACA